AGGAGCAUGUGGUUUAAUUCGAUGAUACGCGAGGAACCUUACCUGGGCUUAAAUGCUUAAUGACGUACUGGGAAACUGGUAUUUCUUCGGACAUUUUGCAAGGUGCUGCAUGGUUGUCGUCAGCUCGUGCCGUGAGGUGUCGGGUUAAGUCCCAUAACGAGCGCAACCCCUAUUGUUAGUUGCCAUCAGGUCAUGCUGGGGACUCUAACAAAACUGCCCGCGUAAGCGUGGAGGAAGGUGGGGAUGACGUCAAAUCAGCACGGCCCUUACGUCCAGGGCUACACACGUGCUACAAUGGCCGGUACAGAGGGCAGCCACUUGGUGACAAGGAGCAAAUCUCAAAAGCCGGUCUCAGUUCGGAUCGGAGUCUGCAACUCGACUCCGUGAAGUUGGAUUCGCUAGUAAUCGUAGAUCAGCAAUGCUACGGUGAAUACGUUCCCGGGCCUU
rnacentral:rRNA from 1 species